rnacentral:lncRNA from 1 species
GUCCCAAGAUCCGGACUUAGAGGACGCGGGGAGGGCGGGGCGGCGCCCGGCUUCCGGGUAGUGGCAGGUGAGGCCGCGUGGGGCCAGCGGCGGCUCCUUGCUGGUCUGUGGCUCUGGGCCCAAGACCCGAGCCUCCUACAGGGGCGGCCCCCUGCCUGAGGCGCGGGUGGGUUCCGACCUCCGAGAGCCGGUCUGGAAGCACUGAGGGGCCCCUACUUUUGCCCCCGAAGUCAGCGGGGCAACAGCCGCUCCCUUGCAGGAGCCGGGCCGUGGGCGGAGGGCCCCGGUGGGUGAGAUCGGUGACCCCCGAAAACUCCGACCAAAGAGCUGCAGCAAGAAAGGAGUUGGUUCCCACAAACCGCCCAGAGUCAAGGAAGAUAUGCUCCAUCGAAACAUGGAAAUGAAGUAAGAAAGAGCAAGACCUAGAUCCAAGAAACAUAGAGCCGACGAGUCUCCAGGAUGCAUUAAAUGGAGACUCAAGUUGUGAGCAGUACCUGAAAGGAAGCAACAUGUCCAGAAUGGAACAGAUCGCAAAGUUCCAGGAAGGAUUUCUUCAGGAAAAUUAAAUUGAUAGAAUACUUAAUUUGAAUCUCUUGAGGAAACUUGCACACAUUGGGAAGAAUUUGGAUUAAAUUAGCAACAAGUCCAUAAAAAUACUCCCAAGUAUCAGAAGAGUGAGAUGUUUCUAAGGCCCUCGUUUUCUCUGUGCAUGGGAACUAAAAUCAGUCUGAUGGCAGCUGCACAAGAUGGGAAGGAGUAAUCCUUGAAAUUAGACCAAGGAAGCACGUGAAGUGUGUUUGCUCUCAGCCACCAGCCUCAGAAGAGCUCAAGUCCAGCAUCCAUUUGAGAAAAUGGAUUCACCCUGCCUAGAGUCAGCAUGAGAUAAUGCCACACAGUGCACACAACUGAGAAUGUGGAAAGGUGAAUUCUCCCAAGGAACGGCAAAUAACGGCCGCAUAAGAGGUUUGCAUGUCAUUAAUGUUUCUUCUACAGUCUACAGCAUGAUUUUAAUGACUGCUUAUUUUUUCCAUAUUGUAUGCGGCCAGUCUUCUAUUGCAAACAUUUGGGUGAAAUCUUCUCAUUUUAGUUCUGUGACUGAUUAGACACAAACCAGAAAAUGCCCAGAAGGUGCUUCGUGGAUGUGGGUGGAAUGAAUGUUGACCAAAACCCUGAAGCUCCUUUCUUGAGAUUCUCCAGAGCUUGGAUGAUAUUGACGGGAAGUCCUUCUUGAAGUCAACCUCAAGUCCUUCUCUAGCAACUUUAGCUCUUUUUCUCCCUUCUUGCUCUGAGGAAAAACAGGGAAGAUACUGAUAUUGCUGUUCUUACGUCUCUGUUAAAUUUGUGCAUAUGAAACCUGCCCUCAAUCUUCCAUAUUGUGGAGUAAAUAACCCCUAUUUUGUAAGCUUUUCCUUAUAAAAAACAAUUACACAAACAUUCCCAUGUGCCCAUCUUAAGAAUCACAGAUAUUUAGAAAAUAGCAUAUGACCAUGUAGACAUAGCCACACUGAGAUAAAUAAUGUGCUUCUUUCAUAAAGAGCUCGCUUCCUGUGAAAUCCCUGCAUCCUGGGUAGUUGGUGGCAGCGCCGUAGGUUUCUGUCUUUUCUCUCGAGCCUGGAAGGAGGUGAUGAGCAAGACUAAUAAGAUGCAGCCUCACACUGAUUAAAUGUCCAUUUUCUUGGGGAAAUGGCUGACAGGAGCAGGAUAAAGCUGUGAGGAAGCUUGUAGCAAUUUCCCAAACCCACCACUACCAGUGAGCUUUAUUUGUGUGCUUAGAGCUAUUAUUAGCGAAACAAUGGCUGGAAAAUGUACCAGGGAGAAAACGAAGAAAUGACAGACCUGUUUUUAAAAAGUAAGAGAAAAGCUUCUUUUGUUAAGUUUUUGAAAGCAGAAAGUUUCAUUCUAGCAGGUUACAUCAUUCAGCCGUACACCUAGUCAAGGAAGGUGAACUGGCAGAGUGAGCUCCACUUAUUUGCAUGCGGGCUCUGGUCUGAGGGGCCACUGCCCACAUGGAAGCAUGAGCUCAAGGCUCUCCACUAGGGAAGAAAAGUGUGGGGCUGGCCUUAAAAUCCUAAAUCCACCUGUGACCAUGCUGGUGGGGCGGAGAGGGUAUGUGAUGGUGAACAGAGGAAGCUGUUGUUUUUAGAGAGUGGUGGAAAGGACUCUGGCUAGGCCUGUGCUUUCCAACACAGAGGCCACUAGCCACAUGUGGCUACUGCUCUGACUGAGAUGUGCUCUAAGUGUAAAAUACGCACCAGAGCCCAAAGAAUUACUAUGGGGAAAAGAAAGAAUGCAAAAUACAUCAUUUAUCAUAUUUAAGAUCAACUACAUGUUGAAAUGAUAUUCUGGAUAGAUUGGACUAGAUAAAAUAUAUGAUUAAAGUGAAUGCCACAACACAAGUGGACCUUGAAAACACAAUGCUAAGCAAAAGAAGCCACACACAGAAGCCCACCAUUGUAAGGUUCCACUUAUGUGAAAUGGCCAAGAGGCAAAUCCAUACGUAUAGAAGGUAGAUGGUUGGUUGCUUAGGGCUGGGGUUUUGGAGGGCAAUGGGAAGUGAGUGCCAGUGGGUAUGGAGUUUCUUUAAGGGGUGAUGAAAAUGUUCUAAAAUUGAUUGUGGUACUUGUUGUACAACUCUGUAAAUACACUUCAAAUGGAUGAAAUGUAUGGUAUGUGAAUUAUAUCUAAAUAAAGCUGUUU